UACGAACUGUGCGAACGUUAUUCGGAAUCACUGGGCUUACAGGGGUGCGUAGGCGGCCGAACAAGUCAGGCGUGAAAGCCCCGGGCUCAACCUGGGAACCGCGCUUGAGACUGGCAUGCUCGAGUUCGGGAGAGGAUGGUGGAAUUCCCGAGUGUAGAGGUGAAAUUCGUAGAUAUUGGGAAGAACACCGAUGGCAAAGGCAGCCAUCUGGACCGACACUGACGCUGAGGCGCGAAAGCGUGGGUAGCAAACAGG
rnacentral:rRNA from 1 species